AUCGCCUGGGCAUUUUGUUGAAAUGCAGGUUCUGAUUGGGGCGGGGGGUGGGGGGUUGAUGUGGGGCCUGAGAUUCUGCAUUUCUAACAAGUUCCCAGGGGAUGUCCA
rnacentral:pre_miRNA from 1 species